rnacentral:rRNA from 1 species
AUUGAGCGCUGGCGGCAGGCCUAACACAUGCAAGUCGAACGGUAACAGAAAGCAGCUUGCUGCUUUGCUGACGAGUGGCGGACGGGUGAGUAAUGUCUGGGAAACUGCCUGAUGGAGGGGGAUAACUACUGGAAACGGUAGCUAAUACCGCAUAACGUCGCAAGACCAAAGAGGGGGACCUUCGGGCCUCUUGCCAUCGGAUGUGCCCAGAUGGGAUUAGCUUGUUGGUGGGGUAACGGCUCACCAAGGCGACGAUCCCUAGCUGGUCUGAGAGGAUGACCAGCCACACUGGAACUGAGACACGGUCCAGACUCCUACGGGAGGCAGCAGUGGGGAAUAUUGCACAAUGGGCGCAAGCCUGAUGCAGCCAUGCCGCGUGUAUGAAGAAGGCCUUCGGGUUGUAAAGUACUUUCAGCGGGGAGGAAGGGAGUAAAGUUAAUACCUUUGCUCAUUGACGUUACCCGCAGAAGAAGCACCGGCUAACUCCGUG